ensembl:lncRNA
CAUGCAUUUCUUUGGAAAAAAGGAGGAGGAAGGAAAGGAGUACCCGGAGGAAACCUCCAUAGCACGGGAGAGAUCGGUUUUAUUGGUGUGAUUUGUGACAAGUCUCUUCUCUAAGCUGAUGAAAUCAACUGCUCAUUUCAUUCAAAGAAGAACUAAGCACACGCAAGAAUGAUGCAGAUGUGUCUCAAAUGUGAAGAGGAUGUGUCCCAAACAGAAAGGAAUCAUCAGGGUCAUGGGGAACCUGGACCCUAUCGCUAGGAACUUGGGGCAGAAGGCGGAGGACACCUUGGAUGAGAUGCUAAUCACACACCAAUUCACACACGAUGGACAAUCUGGAAAUGCCAAUCACCCUACAAUGUAUGACUUUGGCCUGGGGGAAAACCCCGAAGCACAGGGAGAACAUGCAAACUCCGUCCUGGAUUUGGGAU